rnacentral:rRNA from 1 species
UCCGUAGGUGGCAAGCGUUGUCCGGAAUUAUUGGGCGUAAAGCGCGCGCAGGUGGUUCCUUAAGUCUGAUGUGAAAGCCCACGGCUCAACCGUGGAGGGUCAUUGGAAACUGGGGAACUUGAGUGCAGAAGAGGAAAGUGGAAUUCCAAGUGUAGCGGUGAAAUGCGUAGAGAUUUGGAGGAACACCAGUGGCGAAGGCGACUUUCUGGUCUGUAACUGACACUGAGGCGCGAAAGCGUGGGGAGCGAACAGG